rnacentral:rRNA from 1 species
UUGAUCUCAAAUCAGGUGGGACUACCCGCUGAACUUAAGCAUAUCAAUAAGCGGAGGAAAAGAAACUAACAAGGAUUCCCCUAGUAACUGCGAGUGAAGCGGGAAAAGCUCAAAUUUGAAAUCUGGCGGUCUCUGGCCGUCCGAGUUGUAGUCUGGAGAAGCGCUUUCCGCGCCGGACCGUGUACAAGUCCUCUGGAACGGGGCGUCGUAGAGGGUGAGAAUCCCGUCUUUGACACGGACCGCCGGUGCUAUGUGAUGCGCUCUCGAAGAGUCGAGUUGUUUGGGAAUGCAGCUCAAAACGGGUGGUGAAUUCCAUCUAAAGCUAAAUAUUGGCGAGAGACCGAUAGCGAACAAGUACCGUGAGGGAAAGAUGAAAAGCACUUUGGAAAGAGAGUUAAACAGUACGUGAAAUUGUUGAAAGGGAAACGCUUGAAGUCAGUCGCGUCGUCCAGGAUUCAGCCUUGCGAUCUUCGCUCGGUGCACUUUUCUGGUUCGAUGGGCCAGCAUCGAUUUCGAUCGUCGGACAAAGGUGAGGGAAAGGUAGCACCCUUCGGGGGGUGUUAUAGUCCCUCGUCGGUAUACGUCGGUC